AGUCGAACGGCAGCGCGGGGCAACCUGGCGGCGAGUGGCGAACGGGUGAGUAAUAUAUCGGAACGUACCCAAGAGUGGGGGAUAACGUAGCGAAAGUUACGCUAAUACCGCAUACGAUCUAAGGAUGAAAGCAGGGGAUCUUCGGACCUUGUGCUCCUGGAGCGGCCGAUAUCUGAUUAGCUAGUUGGUGAGGUAAAGGCUCACCAAGGCCACGAUCAGUAGCUGGUCUGAGAGGACGACCAGCCACACUGGAACUGAGACACGGUCCAGACCCCUACGGGAGGCAGCAGUGGGGAAUUUUGGACAAUGGGCGAAAGCCUGAUCUAGCAAUGCCGCGUGAGUGAAGAAGGCCUUCGGGUUGUAAAGCUCUUUUGUCAGGGAAGAAACGGUGGAGGCUAAUAUCCUUCGCUAAUGACGGUACCUGAAGAAUAAGCACCGGCUAACUACGUGCCAGCAGCCGCGGUAAUACGUAGGGUGCAAGCGUUAAUCGGAAUUACUGGGCGUAAAGCGUGCGUAGGCGGUUUUGUAAGUCUGACGUGAAAUCCCCGGGCUCAACCUGGGAAUUGCGUUGGAGACUGCAAGGCUAGAAUCUGGCAGAGGGGGGUAGAAUUCCACGUGUAGCAGUGAAAUGCGUAGAGAUGUGGAGGAACACCGAUGGCGAAGGCAGCCCCCUGGGUCAAGAUUGACGCUCAUGCACGAAAGCGUGGGGAGCAAACAGGAUUAGAUACCCUGGUAGUCCACGCCCUAAACGAUGUCUACUAGUUGUCGGGUUUUAAUUAACUUGGUAACGCAGCUAACGCGUGAAGUAGACCGCCUGGGGAGUACGGUCGCAAGAUUAAAACUCAAAGGAAUUGAC
rnacentral:rRNA from 1 species